UACGAAGGGGGCGAGCGUUGUUCGGAUUUACUGGGCGUAAAGGGCGCGUAGGCGGCCCUCCUUGUCGCGUGUGAAAGCCCCGGGCUCAACCUGGGAAUUGCGCGCGAAACGGGGGGGCUUGAGUUCGGGAGAGGAGCGUGGAAUUCCCAGUGUAGAGGUGAAAUUCGUAGAUAUUGGGAAGAACACCGGUGGCGAAGGCGGCGCUCUGGACCGAUACUGACGCUGAUGCGCGAAAGCGUGGGGAGCGAACAGG
rnacentral:rRNA from 1 species